CAACGCGAAGAACCUUACCUACUCUUGACAUCCACAGAACUUAGCAGAGAUGCUUCGGUGCCUUCGGGAACUGUGAGACAGGUGCUGCAUGGCUGUCGUCAGCUCGUGUUGUGAAAUGUUGGGUUAAGUCCCGCAACGAGCGCAACCCUUAUCCUUUGUUGCCAGCACGUAAUGGUGGGAACUCAAAGGAGACUGCCGGUGACAAACCGGAGGAAGGUGGGGAUGACGUCAAGUCAUCAUGGCCCUUACGAGUAGGGCUACACACGUGCUACAAUGGCAGAUACAAAGUGAAGCGAACUCGCGAGAGCAAGCGGACCACAUAAAGUCUGUCGUAGUCCGGAUUGGAGUCUGCAACUCGACUCCAUGAAGUCGGAAUCGCUAGUAAUCGUAGAUCAGAAUGCUACGGUGAAUACGUUCCCGGGCCUUGUACACACCGCCCGUCACACCAUGGGAGUGGGUUGCAAAAGAAGUAGGUAGCUUAACCUUCGGGAGGGCGCUUACCACUUUGUGAUUCAUGACUGGGGUGAAGUCGUAAC
rnacentral:rRNA from 1 species